rnacentral:lncRNA from 1 species
AUGAAGCAUGUUGUGAGGCAUGGUCAAUCAAGAUGGGAUUUCCCUUCUCUAAUUGAGAGUGAUAUGCAUGGCCAUGCUACGUACGGUUAAGAGUUAACCUACAAAGGGAUUCCGUAUCAUAGGAUCGAGAAAGAGCGGUCAGCUUGAAGCUAGACCAAAUAUCGUGAGGCAAAGGGAAUAUCAUGUACGUAAUGUUGUGACGGUUCAUCUGAUAUGAUCUUCGUGUGUGUAUAGGAGUUGGCACGUCUUGCUAGAGGCCGCUACCGACUAUUGGGCCCAGUAGGAGUACACGGACCAUGUCUAUACGUAUCCGAACCCAUAGGGUCACAC